rnacentral:rRNA from 1 species
ACGGAGGCAGCAGUGGGGGAUAUUGCACAAUGGGGGAAACCCUGAUGCAGCGACGCCGCGUGAGUGAAGAAGUAUUUCGGUAUGUAAAGCUCUAUCAGCAGGGAAGAAAAUGACGGUACCUGACUAAGAAGCUCCGGCUAAAUACGUGCCAGCAGCCGCGGUAAUACGUAUGGAGCAAGCGUUAUCCGGAUUUACUGGGUGUAAAGGGAGCGUAGACGGCGAGGCAAGUCUGAUGUGAAAGCCAUGGGCUCAACCCCGGAACUGCUUUGGAAACUGUUAAGCUAGAGUGCAGGAGAGGUAAGUGGAAUUCCUAGUGUAGCGGUGAAAUGCGUAGAUAUUAGGAGGAACACCAGUGGCGAAGGCGGCUUACUGGACUGUAACUGACGUUGAGGCUCGAAGGCGUGGGGAGCAAACAGGAUUAGAUACCCUGGUA